UGAACAAUUUGCAAGUAAGAAUAACAGAAAUAACUCUCACUGUGCUGAAUCCACAAGGAAACCCAAGUGCUUUGAUGCCUUGCACUAAACAGAAAGGUCAGAACUCUGAGGUCAUAUUGAACUGAAGCCUAGGGGUCAGUUCUUGAUAGGGAAAUCACUUUUGCAGGACCCCCAGACUCACGUCUUCAACACCCAGCCUGCUAUCCUUUUCUUCUUGGUGGUGAGAGUGGGGCCCUCUACCUCGUCACUAACGGGGAGCAGGACCGGCGAGUUCAAGAGGGCUAUGGCUGCGUGACUGUGGACAGCUGCGGUUGUUGGCACCUCUAAGAUUUAGAAACUGCAUUGGCCAAGGUCUUCCGGUCUGCAAGCGUGCAAACAUGGCACCCACACCACUGGCCUCCAGAAACAAAGCGUGGAGGAGAAGCCAGCCAGAGUAGCCACUGAAGGUCUUGGCUUUGACACAUGGAAGGGGCCUGUGAUCUACAGACCUGAGUGAAUUCCCAGGGGAAAAUGCCAGGAGGAAGUUCGGGUCACAUGGCUCUCUCCCCACCCACCCACUACCUCCCAGUUUCUUCAUUUUGGGGAACGCGGAUCCUCUAGGGAAACUGCUUAAGGGCCUGCUUUACACAGCGGAAGUUAGCUUGCUUGUUUUUAAAUAAGCAGGAUCCGGACAUUGGUUUGUUGUUUUUUUUUUUUUAAUUUUAGAAAACUCAAAAAUAAAGCAAAAAGAUAAAUAUAAAUUAAAAAAAAAAGAAAAAAAGAGAAAGCUUCACUCUUUUCCCGGUUGUUGGGAAAAAUAACAAAUGCGUAGCAUGGAGCCUGGGAGCCCAAAUCUGAAGAGAGGCAAUCAGCUGACCGCCCGGAGAGCUAGCCCUGCAGUUCAGGUCACCACUCCUUCCUAUCCUCAGCGCCCAAGACUUCUGAGGUAGUAUUAGAAGACACGAGGUCACUUUCAUGUUCCUGGGAGAAAAACUCCCUGAUUUGCACCGAGAUCUUGGAUCUGAUAAAACCGGGCGAUUCUGGGCUACUCCAGGAUCAGCGACUGUGAUAAAACCGGACAAGCUGGCUUCUGCUCAUUAACCUUCCCUCCGUACCUCGAGGGAUAACCUCAAUUUCUUUGGGAUUAUACCGAAGCAGCAGACUUAUGAAAUACCAGCGGCAAGGCUGGAGUCUGCACUUUCUGGGUUCUGGCUGGACUUGCCUGUGGGCUGCCUUGCAUAUUAAAAGGCCUGGCCAGUCUUUGUGUUUCUUGCUUGUAAGUCUGCAGCGAGGGUCCUGGUUUGAGUAUCUGCUGCUCUCUUCCAGGCUGGCCUGGCAGGCUGCAUUACCUGGAGGCUAAUGAGGUGCGUGCUGCUGGUGUGUGCAUGGUGAUGGGAACGCCUUGGAAAAUGUGAUUUUAAAAUCACGAGGUUUGCAGAGCCUCACAACUGUAGGGGAAGUGUGAGGACUAAGGACCUAUAGAAACUCCCUCCCAGUUGACAGUGUUCACCAGGGUGGGCCGGGACUCUUCCCUGCCCUCUGGGACUAAGGAUGACUUCUGGGACUAAGGAUGCUCCCUCAGCCCUUUGGGCUUCUGCAGUGUGUGGGUGGAGAGAGGGAGUGUGUCCCGGUCAAAGCGAAGGCUUGCAGCCACCUGUGGCAGGAGUGUGGAGAUCUAGGUGCAGGGCAAGAACUCCGAAGGAAAGCAAGCCAGUGGUCCCAGCGGACCAGAAAGCUGAGUCACCGAGACCCAGCUCCCCAGGAUGACCAGCUAGCUGCCGGAAGCCACAACCACUUCUGAAGGACUAAACAUUUCGCAUGCUUUCACAACAGAUUUCAUUUUUCUUACCCGAUGGAAAAAAAUAAUCACAGUGUAGAAAAAAAAUAAAAUGUAAAAAUCUUAAAAUGA